rnacentral:rRNA from 1 species
GAUGAACGCUAGCGGCAGGCUUAAUACAUGCAAGUCGUGGGGCAGCAUGAUGUAGCAAUACAUUGAUGGCGACCGGCAAACGGGUGCGGAACACGUACACAACCUUCCUUUUAGUGGGGAAUAGCCCAGAGAAAUUUGGAUUAAUACCCCAUAAGAUAAUGAGAUGGCAUCAUCUUCUUAUUAAAGCUUCGGCGCUAGAAGAUGGGUGUGCGGCUGAUUAGGUAGUUGGCGGGGUAACGGCCCACCAAGCCUACGAUCAGUAGCUGAUGUGAGAGCAUGAUCAGCCACACGGGCACUGAGACACGGGCCCGACUCCUACGGGAGGCAGCAGUAAGGAAUAUUGGACAAUGGACGCAAGUCUGAUCCAGCCAUGCCGCGUGAAGGAUUAAGGUCCUCUGGAUUGUAAACUUCUUUUAUUUGGGACGAAAAAAGAUCAUUCUUGAUCACUUGACGGUACCAGAUGAAUAAGCACCGGCUAACUCCGUGCCAGCCGCCGCGGUAAUAC